rnacentral:rRNA from 1 species
GAUGAACGCUGGCGGCGUGCCUAAUACAUGCAAGUCGAGCGAACAGAUGAGGCUCUUGCUCCUCUGACGUUAGCGGCGGGCGGGUGAGUAACACGUGUAUAACCUACCUAUAAGACUGGUAUAUCUACGGGACACCGGAGCUAAUACCGUAUAAUAUAUUGCACCGCAUGGUUCAAUAGUGAAAGACGGUUUUGCUGUCACUUAUAGAUGGAUCUCGGCCGCAUUGGAUAGUUGGUAAGGUCACGGCUUACCAAGGCAACGAGGCGUAGCCGAACUGAGAGGGUGAUAGCCCGCCCUGGAACGGGGACACGGUCAAGGCUCCUACGGGAGGGCGCAGUAGGGAAUCUGCCGCAAUGGGCGAAAGCCUGACGGAGCAACGCCGAGUGAGUGAUGAAGGUCUUCGGAUCGUAAAACCCUGUUAUGAGGGAAGAACAGAUGUGUAAGUAACUAUGCACGGCUUGACGGUACCUAAUCAAGAAGCCACGGCUAACUACGUG